AUCAGGAAUACUCGAAAUCUCACCUAGUGUGGGCUUACAGUAAGCUUGGUGACAGGGAGUAAGUCGUAACAAGGCACGGGUAGCGGAAGCUGUUCGUGGAAUCAUUCAAUU
rnacentral:rRNA from 1 species